UUUGUAAUGAUGGAUAACCCUAUAGCAGACGGGCGAUCAGAAUAAAACCUCAUCAUUUUAAAUAUGAUUGAGAAUUUGUUGAGAUUUGCUAUCCUGAACUUGAUUUUCUUUUAAAAAUUAUAAUUUA
rnacentral:sRNA from 1 species